UCCAUUAAGCAGGGAGCCAGACGUGGGGCCCUAUCCCAGGACCCUGAGGUCAUGACCUGAGCCAGGGGCGUGUGCUCAACGGACUGAGCCACUGAGGCGUCCCUAUAGUCCUUCCUAAUUAAAACCUCAAGUGCCCAUUUUUCUUUGGAUCUGUCGAGGAAACCCGGCCCCCCUCCCCCACUUCUCUCUCAGCCAUAGGUACCAUGUUUGAACAACUCUCUAAGCAAUGCUUGAUGCCUUACAUUCUGCAAGGGCCCUGUUACCUCUGUUUGUCUGUAUUUUUUCAAUCUUCAGCUGUAUCUCAGGGGUUUAGCUGAAUUCAGGAAAAAGUUGAUUGCUCAAUGGGAAAUUUAGCAAACUGGCUCUCAGGGAAUUGGUUGUUGUUAAACUAAGUGUUUGCUAUACUGGUUUGUGUGUGUAUUGGCCUCAUUCCAUAUCUCAUAGCUCAUCAACUCUUGGUCUUUCUCCUUUGGAAGGAAGGAAAGAAGAAAAGGAAGGAACAAAAAAAGGGAGAAGAAGGAAGAAAUGAAGGAAAGAAGAAGGGAGAAAGGAAGGACCGUCACCCCUGAGCCAACUGCCAGACCAAAAUGUGCUUCUAAAAGUGCUGAGUCUCUGAGAAAAAGUGGUGCUGGACAUAUGUUUUUAGAAUUUUUCCUUCACCACAAGCCAAGAAACUCAAGGGUCUGUAAAAUGCUUCACAAGGAACUGGAAUGGUAAGG